rnacentral:rRNA from 1 species
GUUUGAUGAAUUCAUAGUCAAACGAGGCGAACCGGGGGAACUGAAACAUCUCAGUACCCCGAGGAAAAGAAAUCAACCGAGAUUCCCCCAGUAGCGGCGAGCGAACGGGGAGCAGCCCAGAGUCAACAUCAAUAUUUACCGCAGGAGAAGGGUCUGGAAAGGCCAGCAAUAAAGGGUGAUAGCCCCGUAUCUGAAACGGUAAGUAUUGUGAACUCGAAGAGUAGGGCGGGACACGUGUUAUCCUGUCUGAAUAUGGGGGGACCAUCCUCCAAGGCUAAAUACUCCUGACUGACCGAUAGUGAACCAGUACCGUGAGGGAAAGGCGAAAAGAACCCCGGCGAGGGGAGUGAAAUAGAACCUGAAACCGUGUACGUACAAGCAGUGGGAGCACCCGAAAGGGUGUGACUGCGUACCUUUUGUAUAAUGGGUCAGCGACUUAUAUUCUGUAGCAAGGUUAACCGCAUAGGGGAGCCGUAGGGAAACCGAGUCUUAACUGGGCGUUAAGUUGCGGGGUAUAGACCCGAAACCCGGUGAUCUAGCCAUGGGCAGGUUGAAGGUUGGGUAACACUAACUGGAGGACC